GGCGCCCUACGGGGGGCAGCAGUAGGGAAUCUUCCACAAUGGACGAAAGUCUGAUGGAGCAACGCCGCGUGAGUGAAGAAGGGUUUCGGCUCGUAAAGCUCUGUUGGUAGUGAAGAAAGAUAGAGGUAGUAACUGGCCUUUAUUUGACGGUAAUUACUUAGAAAGUCACGGCUAACUACGUGCCAGCAGCCGCGGUAAUACGUAGGUGGCAGGCGAUGUCCGGGUUUAUUGGGCGUAAAGCGAGUGCAGGCGGG
rnacentral:rRNA from 1 species